rnacentral:rRNA from 1 species
UCAAAGAUUUAUCGCUUAGAGAUGGACUCGCGUCCGAUUAGUUAGUUGGUGAGGUAACGGCUCACCAAGACCGCGAUCGGUAGCCGGACUGAGAGGUUGAACGGCCACAUUGGGACUGAGACACGGCCCAGACUCCUACGGGAGGCAGCAGUGGGGGAUAUUGCGCAAUGGGGGAAACCCUGACGCAGCAACGCCGCGUGAAGGAUGAAGGUCUUCGGAUUGUAAACUUCUUUUAUUAAGGACGAAUAAAGUGACGGUACUUAAUGAAUAAGCUCCGGCUAACUACGUGCCAGCAGCCGCGGUAAUACGUAGGGAGCAAGCGUUGUCCGGAUUUACUGGGUGUAAAGGGUGCGUAGGCGGCUUUGCAAGUCAGAUGUGAAAUCUAUGGGCUCAACCCAUAGCCUGCAUUUGAAACUGCAGAGCUUGAGUGAAGUAGAGGCAGGCGGAAUUCCCCGUGUAGCGGUGAAAUGCGUAGAGAUGGGGAGGAACACCAGUGGCGAAGGCGGCCUGCUGGGCUUUAACUGACGCUGAGGCACGAAAGCGUGGGUAGCAAACAGGAUUAGAUACCCUGGUAGUCCACGCUGUAAACGAUGAUUACUAGGUGUGGGGGGUCUGACCCCUUCCGUGCC